rnacentral:rRNA from 1 species
AGUGAACGCUGGCGAUAGGCCUAACACAUGCAAGUCGAACGGCAGCACAGUAAGAGCUUGCUCUUACGGGUGGCGAGUGGCGGACGGGUGAGGAAUACAUCGGAAUCUACUUUUUCGUGGGGGAUAACGUAGGGAAACUUACGCUAAUACCGCAUACGACCUACGGGUGAAAGCAGGGGAUCUUCGGACCUUGCGCGAUUGAAUGAGCCGAUGUCGGAUUAGCUAGUUGGCGGGGUAAAGGCCCACCAAGGCGACGAUCCGUAGCUGGUCUGAGAGGAUGAUCAGCCACACUGGAACUGAGACACGGUCCAGACUCCUACGGGAGGCAGCAGUGGGGAAUAUUGGACAAUGGGCGCAAGCCUGAUCCAGCCAUACCGCGUGGGUGAAGAAGGCCUUCGGGUUGUAAAGCCCUUUUGUUGGGAAAGAAAAGCAGCAGGUUAAUACCCCGCUGUUCUGACGGUACCCAAAGAAUAAGCACCGGCUACUUCGUG